rfam:Caenorhabditis elegans chromosome V
GCGGAUCCCUACAACGCUGCGCAUAUGCAUGAACACAAUGAAAAUGUAAAUGCCAGUCGUUGCAGGAGUUCG